AGUCGCCACGGGAAUACGGAGGGUGCAAGCGUUAAUCGGAAUUACUGGGCGUAGAGCGCACGCAGGCGGUCUGACAAGUCAGAUGUGAAAUCCCCGGGCUUAACCUGGGAACUGCAUUUGAAACUGUCAGGCUGGAGUCUUGUAGAGGGGGGUAGAAUUCCAGGUGUAGCGGUGAAAUGCGUAGAGAUCUGGAGGAAUACCGGUGGCGAAGGCGGCCCCCUGGACAAAGACUGACGCUCAGGUGCGAAAGCGUGGGGAGCAAACAGGAUUAGAUACCCGUGUAGUCCCUGUCUCUUAUACC
rnacentral:rRNA from 1 species